AGUUGCCAGCGCGUAAUGGCGGGGACUCUAGCAAGACUGCCAGUGUAAUAAACUGGAGGAAGGUGGGGACGACGUCAAGUCAUCAUGGUCCUUAUGUCCAGGGCUACACACGUGCUACAAUGGGGCGUACAGAGGGAAGCGAUAUAGUGAUAUGGAGCUAAUCUCAGAAAGCCGAUCUCAGUUCGGAUUGGAGUCUGCAAUUCGACUCCAUGAAGUUGGAAUCGCUAGUAAUCGCGUGUCAGCGUAACGCGGUGAAUACGUUCCCGGGCCUUGUACACACCGCCCGUCAAGUCAGCCGAGUUGAUUGCACCCG
rnacentral:rRNA from 1 species